AUUGACGGGACCCGCACAAGCAGCGGAGCAUGUGGUUUAAUUCGAAGCAACGCGAAGAACCUUACCAGAUCUUGACAUCCAAUUGACCAUCUUUUAAUCGAGAUUUUGCCUUCGGGUACAAUUGAGACAGGUGGUGCAUGGUUGUCAUCAGCUCGUGUCGUGAGAUGUUGGGUUAAGUCCCGCAACGAGCGCAACCCUUGUGUUUAGUUGCAAACAGGUCAAGCUGUGCACUCUAGACAGACUGCCGUGGACAACACGGAGGAAGGUGGGGAUGACGUCAAAUCAUCAUGCCCCUUAUGAUCUGGGCUACACACGUGCUACAAUGGCCGGUACAACGGGCAGCGAAGGAGCGAUCCGGAGCGAAUCCUAAAAAGCCGGUCCCAGUUCGGAUUGCAGGCUGAAACUCGCCUACAUGAAGUUGGAGUUGCUAGUAAUCGUGGAUCAGCAUGCCACGGUGAAUACGUUCCCGGGCCUU
rnacentral:rRNA from 1 species